rnacentral:rRNA from 1 species
AGAUGCGGUCAUAUCUGCGGUAAAGCACUGCAUCUCGCCCAAUCUGCAAAGUAAAGCCCGCAAGAGCUUGGUUAUUUUAACAUUUGAUUCCUGAGAUGUACUUU